UACGUAGGGUGCGAGCGUUGUCCGGAAUUAUUGGGCGUAAAGAGCUCGUAGGCGGUCUGUCGCGUCGGUCGUGAAAACCUGCAGCUUAACUGUGGGCGUGCGGUCGAUACGGGCAUGACUGGAGUUCGGCAGGGGAGACUGGAAUUCCUGGUGUAGCGGUGGAAUGCGCAGAUAUCAGGAGGAACACCGGUGGCGAAGGCGGGUCUCUGGGCAGUAACUGACGCUGGAGGAGCGAAAGCGUGGGGAGCGAACAGG
rnacentral:rRNA from 1 species